AGUCGUAACAAGGUAACCGUAGGUGAACCUGCGGUUGGAUCAUUACCAAUCUCGUCGCGCAAGCGACACUACACCUGUGCACAUUGUAUUUGUUUCUGGGUGGUUGUCUCUGAGACGAUUGCCCAACCAAACGUAUUGUAGACUGAACAAAAUAUAAAAGAAAUAACUUUUGACAACGGAUCUCUAGGCUCUCGCAACGAUGAAGAACGCAGCGAAAUGCGAUACGUAGUGUGAAUUGCAGAAUUCGUGAAUCAUCAAAUCUUUGAACGCACCUUGCACUCCAUUUGGAGUAUGCCUGUUUGAGAAUCUACCAACUCUUUGCCUGUGGGCAAGAAGUGAGCCAUUUCUGCGGAAAGGCUUUGAAAGCAUGUCUCGGCUUUUCGAUACGGAUGUUGAAUGGUUACGGCCUCCUCUUUCCGGACGAAGGGUAGAGAAGAUGUAAUCUGUUUUAUGGUCUCAAAUCAGGUAGGAAGACCCGCUGAACUUAAGCAUAUCAAUAAGCGGAGGAAAAGAAACUAACAAGGAUUCCCCUAGUAACGGCGAGUGAAGCGGGAAGAGCUCAAAUUUGAAAUCCCACCUCGGUGUGAAUUGUAGUUUAGAGAAGCGUUUUCGGGGGGUGGCCAGACACAAGUUCUUUGGAACGAGGCAUCGUAGAGGGUGAGAAUCCCGUGUACGGUCUGGCAGGAACCUAUGUGAUACGUUUUCCAAGAGUCGGUUUGUUUGGGAAUGCAGACCAAAAUGGGUGGUAAAUACCAUCUAAAGCUAAAUAUUGGCGAGAGACCGAUAGCGAACAAGUACCGUGAGGGAAAGAUGAAAAGAACUUUGAAAAGAGAGUUAAAAGUACGUGAAAUUGUCAAAAGGGAAACGCUUGAAACCAGUAGUGCAGAGGUCUUUGGGCCUUGGCAAGUCAGCAUCAGUUUGGUUUGGGCAAAGAGGGCAGUGGAACGUAGCCUCCGGGUGUUAUAGCCGCUGUCUGGGGCCUGGGCUGGACUGAGGACUGCAGCGUUUGUUGGGGCAACCACACUAACGCUUUGGAUGCUGACGAAGUGGUUUUAAUCGACC
rnacentral:rRNA from 1 species